rnacentral:rRNA from 1 species
AGAACGAACGCUGGCGGCAGGCUUAACACAUGCAAGUCGAGCGCCCCGCAAGGGGAGCGGCAGACGGGUGAGUAACGCGUGGGAACAUACCCUCCGGUUCGGAAUAGCUCAGGGAAACUUGGAUUAAUACCGGAUACGGCCUAGCGGCGAAAGAUUCAUCGCCGGAGGAUUGGCCCGCGUUCGAUUAGCUAGUUGGUGAGGUAACGGCUCACCAAGGCGACGAUCGAUAGCUGGUCUGAGAGGAUGAUCAGCCACAUUGGGACUGAGACACGGCCCAAACUCCUACGGGAGGCAGCAGUGGGGAAUAUUGGACAAUGGGCGCAAGCCUGAUCCAGCCAUGCCGCGUGAGUGAUGACGGCCUUAGGGUUGUAAAGCUCUUUCGCGUAGGGACGAUAAUGACGGUACCUAGACAAGAAGCCCCGGCUAACUUCGUGCCAGCAGCCGC